GAACGAGGAUAUACCCUUCGGGGUGUAAACCGAGUGGCGCAAGGGUGAGUAAUGCAUAGAUUACCUGCCUCCGGGAUAAGGACAACUUUGUGAAAACGAAGCUAAUACUUAAUAAUACAAAAGAAAAUUAUUUUCUUUUGUCAAAGGGAGGGUAGCAAUACCUUUUGCCUGGAGAGGGGUUUAUGUCCUAUCAGCUUGUUGGUGGGGUAAUGGCCUACCAAGGCAAAGACGGGUAGCCGGUCUUAGAGGAUGGUCGGCCACACUGGGACUGAGACACUGCCCAGACUUCUACGGAAGGCUGCAGUCGAGAAUCUUUCGCAAUGCCCGAAAGGGUGACGAAGCGACGCCGCGUGGGUGAGGAAGGCCUUCGGGUUGUAAAGCCCUGUCAGGAGUUAAGAAAUAUAAGUGCGUUAAUACCGCAUUUAUUUGACGAAGGCUCCAAAGGAAGCCACGGCUAACUCUGUGCCAGCAGCCGCGGUAAUACAGAGGUGGCAAGCGUUGUUCGGAAUUAUUGGGCGUAAAGAGCACGUAGGUGGGUUUGUAAGUCAGAUGUGAAAGCCUUCUGUUCAACGGAAGAAUUGCAUCUGAAACUGCGAGUCUUGAGUGUAGGAGGGGAGAAUGGAACUUCUGGUGGAGCGGUGAAAUGCGUAGAUAUCAGAAGGAACGCCAGCGGCGAAAGCGAUUCUCUGGCCUAUUACUGACACUCAGUGUGCGAAAGCUAGGGGAGCAAACGGGAUUAGAUACCCCGGUAGUCCUAGCCGUAAACGAU
rnacentral:rRNA from 1 species